GUGAAAUGAAUCUCUAGAGUAUUUAAAGGGGAAGCUUGGACUCCGGGUGCUGUUGGAAGACGGGACGACAGAGGUGGACACACACUGCCCUGGGAUGCCGCCUUAUUAACCUGACCAAACCUGAGCCCGGACCUGAAGUUUAUUUUGGUGGGUGGGAUUGUAACGGAACCCAUAAUGCAGCUGUGAUUCUGAGCUCCAGCUGGUUAUGGGGUCCGUUUCCAUCCCACAGUGCACAGGACCUCAUGAGAAGACGAGUCGAUGCCGAGCAGUUUGUCAAAAAGAAAAGAAAAAAUCUGAGCAGGGACUUGACUUUGCUACCAUAAAUACUUACCAUCCUCACUUUUCAACUUCACAUCAUGUUUCUAAUUUAGCCUCUGUUUGAAAAUAUUUUCAUAUUAGUACAGUUAAACUUUAUUGUUCAAUAAAUGAAAAAAGAAGAAUGAAUCUGCCACAGUAAGACACUUGUAACAGUAUAAAAGUAUCUACAAUAAAAUGACACAUCCCAGCUAACUGAGCCACACCUAUAAAACCAAUAGAAGUCAUGUUAUGGUCCACCUGUUCUGAUUCAUACAAGCCAGUGCUAAAAGCUCACAAUUCAAGGUGGAGUUACAGUUUGGUUUCGAAAGUGAAACACCUGUGGAGCCUGUGUUUAGUGCUGCGUUUCCACGAACGGGAUAUACUGGAAUGCAGCGACUGAAAUCUGAUGUUGCAGUCUGACACACAAGGUGUUUUUUCCUCAAUGACACGUUUUCUCCCGGAUUGCUGACGACGGUAAACGCAACCGGGAAUUUCGUGUCAGCCAAGAAUAACACCAAGAAUGGCGACAACUGAGCUUUAACUGCAAGCCAUUUUAGUGUACCAUUAGUUGUUUUGUUUUAAAUAAUAUUUCUUAAUUGAUAAUUCUAAUAAAUAUCUGAAUUUUAAAACUUUAA